rnacentral:rRNA from 1 species
AGGGCACCACCAGGAGUGGAGCCUGCGGCUUAAUUUGACUCAACACGGGAAAACUCACCCGGCCCGGACACCGUAAGGAUUGACAGAUUGAGAGCUCUUUCUUGAUUCGGUGGGUGGUGGUGCAUGGCCGUUCUUAGUUGGUGGAGCGAUUUGUCUGGUUAAUUCCGAUAACGAACGAGACUCUAGCCUGCUAAAUAGGCAGUGGAUUAUUCGUCCACUGUACUUCUUAGAGGGACAAGCAGCGUCUAGCUGCACGAGAUUGAGCAAUAACAGGACUGUGAUGCCCUUAGAUGUUCGGGGCUGCACGCGCGCUACACUGAAGGAAUCAACAUGCUUCUCAACCUUGGCCGGAAGGUCUAGGUAACCCGUUGAAACUCCUUCGUGAUUGGGAUAGGGAAUUGCAAUUAUUUCCCUUGAACGAGGAAUUCCCAGUAAGUGCGGGUCAUCAGCUCGCGCUGAUUACGUCCCUGCCCUUUGUACACACCGCCCGUCGCUACUACCGAUUGGAGGUAGAGCAGA